CGGCAGAACUGCUCGCGCCUUUUAUUGGCGAUAUCGCCGCCGAAGGGAUGGGUAAAGCCUUUCGUGGCGGUACGACUUUCCUGCGUAAAAGCCUGCAGCGACAGCAGCGUUAUGCGGCAGAAGUGCUGACCGAAGAGUGGCGCAUGGCGCCCGGGCCGCUGGAAGCGGCAUGGUUUGCGGAAGAAACCGCGGCUGUUGAACGUGCUGUUGAUGCACUAACCAAACGGCUGGAAAAACUGGAGGGCAAAUGA
rnacentral:sRNA from 1 species